UUAAUAUAGGCUUUCGAUAUAAACAAAAGAUAUGGUUUUGUGUCUCUACCCGGCACCGUAAAUGCCGGACUAUCGGAUGAUCA
rnacentral:ncRNA from 1 species